rnacentral:rRNA from 1 species
AAUAUUGCACAAUGGGGGAAACCCUGAUGCAGCGACGCCGCGUGAGCGAAGAAGGCCUUCGGGUCGUAAAGCUCUGUCCUCAGGGAAGAAAGGGACGGUACUUAAGGAGGAAGCACCGGCCAACAACGAGCCAGCAGCCGCGGUAAUACUCAGGGGGCGAGCGUUAUCCGGAAUUACUGGGCGUAAAGGGUGCGUAGGCGGCCUUGUAAGUCAGAUGUGAAAGGCUACGGCUUAACCGUAGUUAGCAUUUGAAACUAAAAGGCUUGAGUGCAGGAGAGGAGAGUGGAAUUCCUAGUGUAGCGGUGAAAUGCGUAGAUAUUAGGAGGAACACCAGGGGCGAAGGCGACUCUCUGGACUGCAACUGACGCUGAGGCACGAAAGCGUGGGGAGCGAACA